GAUGAACGCUAGCGGCAGGCCUAACACAUGCAAGUCGAGGGAGAAGCCCUUUCGGGGGCAGAAACCGGCGCACGGGUUCGUAACGCGUAUGCAACCUACCUUUCACAUGGUGAUAGCCCGAAGAAAUUUGGAUUAAUACCCCAUAAUAUUAUUGUAUGGCAUCCUUUGAUAAUUAAAACUGCGGUGGUGAUAGAUGGGCAUGCUUCCUAUUAGCUAGAUGGAGUGGUAACGGCACCCCAAGGCUACGAUAGGGAGGGGUCCUGAGAGGGAGCUCCCCCACACUGGUACUGAGACAGAGACCAGACUCCUACGGGAGGCUGGAGUGAAGAAUAUUGGUCAAUGGUCGGAAGACUGACCCAGCCAUGCCGCGUGCAGGAAGCAUGCCUUAUGGGUUGUAAACUGCUUUUAUAUGGGAAGAAUAAGGCGUACGUGUACGUUGAUGACGGUACCAUAUGAAUAAGCAUCGGCUAACUCCGUG
rnacentral:rRNA from 1 species